UACGGAGGGGGUUAGCGUUGUUCGGAAUUACUGGGCGUAAAGCGCACGUAGGCGGAUCAGAAAGUCAGAGGUGAAAUCCCAGAGCUCAACUUUGGAACUGCCUUUGAAACUCCCAGUCUUGAGGUCGAGAGAGGUGAGUGGAAUUCCGAGUGUAGAGGUGAAAUUCGUAGAUAUUCGGAGGAACACCAGUGGCGAAGGCGGCUCACUGGCUCGAUACUGACGCUGAGGUGCGAAAGCGUGGGGAGCAAACAGG
rnacentral:rRNA from 1 species